AGGACUAACGCUGGCGGCGUGCCUAACACAUGCAAGUCGAACGAGGGGUAGCAAUACCCCUAGUGGCAGACGGGUGAGUAACACGUAGUCAACCUACCUCUUAAUGGGGGAUAACUAGCCGAAAGGUUAGCUAAUACCGCAUACGAUCGUCGAGUGGCAUCACACGACGAUGAAAGGAGCAAUCCGUUGAGAGAGGGGACUGCGUCCCAUUAGUUAGUUGGUGGGGUAAUGGCCUACCAAGACUCCGAUGGGUAGCUGGCUUGAGAGAGCGACCAGCCACACUGGAACUGAGACACGGUCCAGACUCCUACGGGAGGCAGCAGUGAGGAAUUUUCCGCAAUGGGGGAAACCCUGACGGAGCGACGCCGCGUGUGGGAAGAAGGCCUUCGGGUCGUAAACCACUGUCGAGGGGGACGAUAUUGACGGUACCCCUGGAGGAAGCCCCGGCUAACUACGCGCCAGCAGCCGC
rnacentral:rRNA from 1 species